UAGCUGAAACUUGAUAUGCCAAGGCUGAU
rnacentral:piRNA from 1 species